AGAGAAGAGAAUGAAGUAAUCAGCAGCAUUCAGUAAUAUCCAGUCAGUGUGUUUGACUCGUUUAGUUCAGAGUCACAAGCGCACUCUCUGUGUUUAUUAAUGGUGUUGAACAUCUGUUGUUCUCGCUCAGGUCCGAGUCACAUGUCUCUGUAUCUGAGUCCUCACGCUGGAGCGUCUCUGAGCGGCUGGUCGUUCGGCGGCGGGAUGCUGCGCCGCAGCGGAGAGAGUUUCAUAUUUUACUCUCAUGGUCUCGACGCUCCGGCCUGGACCUUCUGGAUUGAGAUCUUGAUGCUCAGGUCCUCAGACGUGUCUCCUGAGGAGGGCUUGAUCUCUCUGGCCAUAUCCGCUCAUUAUUUAUCUGGUUCAGACGGACGCUCAGAGCCACUCGAGUCCUUCCUGAAGAGAUUCCCGGCCUGGGUGUUCUCAUCCUCCUGGAUCAGCACUUCCCACGUGUACAGAUACUGAGGGACACACACACAGAUUUCCUUUUUUUAUGGGGACAUUCCACAGGUGUAAGGGUUUUUCUACUGUACAAAGUGCGUUUUCUAUCCCUUACUCUAACCCUACACCUAAACCUACCCCUUACAGAAAACUUUCUGAUUUUUUAAAGAUUUUCAAAGCACUUCAUUCUAUGUGAUUCAUAAGCUUGUUUCCUCAUGGCGACCAAAAAUGUCCCAACAAGGUUAAAAUUUACUGGUAUCACUAUAUUUGUGAGGACAUUUGGUCCUCAUAAUGUGGUGACUACCAGGUACACACACACACACACACACACCACACCACUCACUGCAGACCCAUAAACACCAUAUGAGCUCCUUCAUUCACAUCAAACAGCUCACAGUGUUGUGUUUUAUUUCUCUGGGUCAUACUUCAACACAAAAUCAAAAAAAAAAAAAAAAAGUACAAUUACAAAUAAAAAUUAAGUCUACUUCAGGACAGGUAAGAUUUUUACUUUGUUACAUGUUUUUAUUAUGAUAAUUGAUCAUGAUUUACCCUAAAUCCUCAUGUGAUACAAUAUUAUAUAUCAAUUUUAUAUCAAUAUAUUAUUUUGGUGAGAUAAUUUUUCUUUAGUUUAUCUUUAGGUUGUUGUUGUAUUUCUCAAUUUACAUAUCCUUAAUUUACCAGGAAUAAUCCCACUGAGAUAUAAAUCUACACAAAACAUGCAAGAUUUCUUAGUAUAUUUAAAGACAUACCAUAACCUAGGAGCAGAAAAGGAAAAGGCAGUUUUGCCAAACUCAAAAUAUGCUCUAGGCACAAUUAAAAAUAAUUUAGAAGAAGAUCUGGUCCUAUAAUUACAAGUAUGAAAUGAUUUCUGAUUCUUAAUAUUGAAAUUCCAUGAUUUAAUAAAUAUUUAUAAAAAAGUCACAUACUUGUUUAACUGUCAUGAAAAUAAUGCCAAACAUUAGAAAGGUUUUGAUCUUGCUGUGAAAUGUGACUGUCACAUGAUCUUGACCAUAACUCAGUCGGUCUGAAGUGGUUUCAGCUGCUCUUUGUAUGAGCAAUUUCAAUGAAUCUCAUGUUAUUCAUAUUUAUUCCAUAUAUUCAUUGUAAUGUAUCUUUCAUAUUAUGAACAGCUAUAAGAGUGGUUAUGUGUGAGACCUGCUUCAGCCUGAAUAUGAGACGAUAUCAUGAUGACCUGCUUGUUCUCGUUUGCUUAGGAGAAACAGGGUAUCAUGAGAUGUUCGGGAAGACACUACGUGACGAGUGAAACAUAGCUAUUGAAAACAAUAGGUUAAAGGGUAUAAAAGCAGAGAAGUAUGCUCACAGAUUUUUGUCACACGUGGUGGAGCUCACUGCUGUCUAUCUGACCUUCUUGCAAGAAUAAAAUUUCAAAAUCUGUCA